ACGGAGGAUCCGAGCGUUAUCCGGAUUUAUUGGGUUUAAAGGGUGCGCAGGCGGGGAUAUAAGUCAGAGGUGAAAUUCCAGGGCUCAACCUUGGGACUGCCUUUGAUACUGUAUGUCUAGAGUAUAGUUGGAGUGGGCGGAAUGUAGCAUGUAGCGGUGAAAUGCUUAGAUAUGCUACAGAACACCGAUCGUGAAGACAGCUCACUAAGCUAUAACUGACGCUCAGGCACGAAAGCAUGGGGAGCAAACAG
rnacentral:rRNA from 1 species